rnacentral:lncRNA from 1 species
AAAGCAAGAACAAAGGAAGAAAAGGAAGAACCAAACCCUAGGUGGAAAAAUUCAAGGGAAAAGUGUGAAAAUUCAAGGAAACAAGUGAAAAAAAGGUAAGAUUUUUCAAUUAAGCUUGAGAUCUCUCUUUCUUAAGCAUUUUUUCUUAUUUUUCAUGGUUGAAUCACAUGAUUUCGUGAUGAAUCCCAUGCUGGCCGAACACUUAGAGGGAGGUUUUGAUGCUUGAUUUGGUUAGAUUUCAAUGUAUUUUAGUGUUUUUAGUUAGUUAGAGACGUGUAGUAUGAAAAGCCAACAAGAAAAAUUCACUUCCUCCCAUCACGCAUCAUUGGCCGAAUUCUCCAUGUAGAAUAUUGAUGAUGAUUUUGAUUUUAUUUCAAGUGAUUUGGUUAGGAAUUAGUGAUUUAUGGUGUGAAAAUCAAGCUUGAAAAAUUAUAGUGUUAAUGCACCCACCAUGGUCGAAUUUUCCAAGAGAAAAUGUGAGGAUGAUUUUGCCAUAUUUCAAGUUAUUUAAUUUGUGUUUGAUGAUUUAGAGUAUUGGGAGAAAAAUGGAAUUAUUUGGAGUUGAAUUGGACGUGUUGGCCAAUUAAUCGGGUGAUAGAUCGAAUUAGGCCAAUACCAUUUUAUUUGGGUACAUAACUAAAUUUAUAUUGAACACCAUAUUCAGAUAGUUACCCGAGUAUUUCACCUCCCAUUUUAUGCAUUAGUAUAGAGCCUGAAUUGGUUUUAUAACAAUUUACCACAAAUGUAGUAAAUGGCUUAUUGUGCAUUAUGUCUAGGUGGUGAGCAUUCUGACAAAAGUAAAGAGAUAGUACCCGACGAUCAAGAAUUGGAGUACUCGGAAUUCGACUCCCGAAAUAGUGAGUAACCUUACUAUCGUCUUAAUAAUCUAAUAUGGUUUUUAUCCGAUUUUGUGAUUUUAUGGAAAAUGAGUUAAAUGGUAAAUCUUUGUGUUUUGUAAUUAAAAUGUGAUUUAAUGAAAUGAUUUUAUAACAUUAUUUUUG